AGAGUUUGAUCAUGGCUCAGAACGAACGCUGGCGGCAGGCUUAACACAUGCAAGUCGAACGCACUCUUCGGAGUGAGUGGCAGACGGGUGAGUAACGCGUGGGAACGUACCCUUUGGUUCGGAAUAACCCAGGGAAACUUGGGCUAAUACCGGAUACGUCGGAAACGGGAAAGAUUUAUCGCCGAAGGAUCGGCCCGCGUCGGAUUAGCUAGUUGGUGGGGUAAUGGCCCACCAAGGCGACGAUCCGUAGCUGGUCUGAGAGGAUGAUCAGCCACACUGGGACUGAGACACGGCCCAGACUCCUACGGGAGGCAGCAGUGGGGAAUAUUGGACAAUGGGCGCAAGCCUGAUCCAGCCAUGCCGCGUGAGUGAAGAAGGCCUUAGGGUUGUAAAGCUCUUUCAGCGGGGAAGAUAAUGACGGUACCCGCAGAAGAAGCCCCGGCUAACUUCGUGCCAGCAGCCGCGGUAAUACGAAGGGGGCUAGCGUUGUUCGGAAUUACUGGGCGUAAAGCGCGCGUAGGCGGACAUUUAAGUCAGGGGUGAAAUCCCAGGGCUCAACCCUGGAAUUGCCUUUGAUACUGGAUGUCUGGAGUUCGGGAGAGGUGAGUGGAAUUGCGAGUGUAGAGGUGAAAUUCGUAGAUAUUCGCAGGAACACCAGAAGCGAAGGCGGCUCACUGGCCCGAGACUGACGCUGAGGCGCGAAAGCGUGGGGAGCAAACAGGAUUAGAUACCCUAGUAGUCC
rnacentral:rRNA from 1 species